GACGAACGCUGGCGGCGUGCUUAACACAUGCAAGUCGAACGGAAAGGCCCUGCUUGCAGGGUGCUCGAGUGGCGAACGGGUGAGUAACACGUGGGUGAUCUGCCCCUUACUUUGGGAUAAGCCUUGGAAACUGGGUCUACUACUGGAUAGGACCAUGCUGUAGGUGGUGUUGUGGAAAGAUUAGUUUCGGUAAGGGAUGAGCUCGCGGCCUAUCAGCUUGUUGGUGGGGUAAUGGCCUACCAAGGCGUCGACGGGUAGCCGGCCUGAGAGGGUGGACGGCCACAUUGGGACUGAGAUACGGCCCAGACUCCUACGGGAGGCAGCAGUGGGGAAUAUUGCACAAUGGGCGCAAGCCUGAUGCAGCGACGCCGCGUGGGGGAUGACGGCCUUCGGGUUGUAAACUCCUUUCAGCCAUGACGAAGCCCUUGUGGUGACGGUAGUGGUAGAAGAAGCACCGGCUAACUACGUG
rnacentral:rRNA from 1 species